GGUGACUUACCUUGUAGUGGGGGAUAACAGCUAGAAAUAGCUGCUAAUACCGCAUAAGCUGAAUCGUAUUGGAAAAGAUUCAGGAAAGAUGGCCUCUACUUGUAAGCUAUCACUACGAGAAAGGCCUGCGGGUCAUUAGCUAGUUGGUAAGGUAAUGGCUUACCAAGGCUACGAUGACUAACCGGUCUGAGAGGAUGAUCGGUCACACUGGAACUGAGACACGGUCCAGACUCC
rnacentral:rRNA from 1 species